rnacentral:rRNA from 1 species
CCGAAACCAGGUGAUCUACCCAUGGCCAGGAUGAAGGUGCGGUAACACGCCCUGGAGGUCCGAACCCACUAAUGUUGAAAAAUUAGGGGAUGACCUGUGGAUAGGGGUGAAAGGCCAAUCAAACUUGGAAAUAGCUGGUUCUCCGCGAAAUCUAUUUAGGUAGAGCGUCGUGUAUUACCGCCGGGGGUAGAGCACUGGAUGGGCUAGGGGGACGCGAGUCUUACCAAACCUAACCAAACUCCGAAUACCGGUGA